rnacentral:rRNA from 1 species
UACGUAGGGGGCAAGCGUUGUCCGGAAUCAUUGGGCGUAAAGAGCGUGUAGGCGGCCAGAAAAGUCCGCUGUGAAAACUCGAGGCUCAACUUCGAGCUGUCGGUGGAAACUUUCUGGCUAGAGUCCGGAAGAGGAGAAUGGAAUUCCUGGUGUAGCGGUGAAAUGCGCAGAUAUCAGGAGGAACACCGGUGGCGAAGGCGGGUCUCUGGGCCGAUACUGACGCUGAGGAGCGAAAGCCAGGGGAGCAAACGGG